rnacentral:rRNA from 1 species
UACAGAGGGGGCAAGCGUUAUUCGGAAUUAUUGGGCGUAAAGGGCGCGUAGGCGGCUUGGCAAGUGGAAGGUGAAAUCCCUCGGCUUAACCGAGGAACUGCCUUCCAGACUGCUUUGCUUGAGGCCGGGAGAGGCGAGUGGAAUUCCCAGUGUAGCGGUGAAAUGCGUAGAUAUUGGGAGGAACACCAGUGGCGAAGGCGGCUCGCUGGACCGGUUCUGACGCUGAGGCGCGAAAGCGUGGGGAGCGAACAGG